AAGGUUGGCCCACUUUGAUUUAAAAGUAGUCACAUUGAUAUUUUAUAUAAAUUUAAAGACACGUACCAGCAAGAAACAAAUACAACACUUUUGCCUUUCAGAUGGUUCUUUCUUCCAUCUUGGGAAAUUUUACAUGAACUUUGAGUAAAUUCCUUGACCAUGAACGUUUCCAGCAAUUUAACUUUUGCUUAAGAAAAAAAAAAAAGAAGGAGCAGCCAUGGCUGCUACUGUUCACGGCCAACCAUGACUUUUUCAAAAAAAAAAAAAAUUGCUUUGAUUAAGUUCAAGAGAUAUACAAAUUCCAGGAGGUGAUAGCAACAUUGGAUUUUAAGUCGGAGAAGAAGAAAUUGCGAAAUUGGAGCAAUUAAGAGUAGAAAUUCCUCCGAGAAAAUUAAGGUACAGAGGUUCGUGAUCCGCCAGUGUAGGCUACAUAUUCUGCUAUCACAGAGUGCUCCUUUUGAUUCGGAGCCCAUAUGUUGGUACAUAUCUUUUAUGGUGUAUAUGUCUCUGUAUAUUUGACUGUUUGGGGUACGGCGGGGCCCUGUCCCGUCAUAUGAUUUCGUUAUGAUUCGUAGAGGCCUGUAGUCAUAUAAGUGGGUCAUGGGUCAUGUGUGUGUUUGUUUGUGUAUGAUCUGCGUCUUAGCGCAGUUCCGUUUGCUAUUAUGGCCAAAACGGCCCAUUUGUCUGUAUACGUAUAUGUAUCUGGCGAUGUAUAUUCCGCCAACCUAUCAGAUUUGGAUAUGGCCAGAAUGACCUGUAUAUUUGUAUAUGUGCAUAUAUUCGGCGAUGCAUAUCCCGCCGCUUCUUUUGCUUC